UGCAAGUCGAGCGGUAGCACAAGAGAGCUUGCUCUCUGGGUGACGAGCGGCGGACGGGUGAGUAAUGUCUGGGAAGCUGCCUGAUGGCGGGGGAUAACUAGUGGAAACGGUAGCUAAUACCGCAUAACGUCGCAAGACCAAAGUGGGGGACCUUCGGGCCUCACGCCAUCAGAUGUACCCAGGUGGGAUUAGCUGGUAGGUGGGGUAACGGCUCACCUAGGCGACGAUCCCUAGCUGGUCUGAGAGGAUGACCAGCCACACUGGAACUGAGACACGGUCCAGACUCCUACGGGAGGCAGCAGUGGGGAAUAUUGCACAAUGGGCGCAAGCCUGAUACAGCCAUGCCGCGUGUGUGAAGAAGGCCUUCGGGUUGUAAAGCACUUUCAGCGAGGAGGAAGGGUAAUGUGUUAAUAAGACAUUGCAUUGACGUUACUCGCAGAAGAAGCACCGGCUAACUCCGUGCCAGCAGCCGCGGUAAUACGGAGGGUGCAAGCGUUAAUCGGAAUUACUGGGCGUAAAGCGCACGCAGGCGGUUUGUUAAGUCAGAUGUGAAAUCCCCGCGCUCAACGUGGGAACGGCAUUUGAGACUGGCAAGCUAGAGUCUUGUAGAGGGGGGUAGAAUUCUAGGUGUAGCGGUGAAAUGCGUAGAGAUCUGGAGGAAUACCGGUGGCGAAGGCGGCCCCCUGGACAAAGACUGACGCUCAGGUGCGAAAGCGUGGGGAGCAAACAGGAUUAGAUACCCUAGUAGUCCACGCUGUAAACGAUGUCGAUUUGGAGGUUGCGCCCUUGAGGGGUGGCUUCCGUAGCUAACGCGUUAAAUCGACCGCCUGGGGAGUACGGCCGCAAGGUUAAAACUCAAAUGAAUUGACGGGGGCCCGCACAAGCGGUGGAGCAUGUGGUUUAAUUCGAUGCAACGCGAAGAACCUUACCUACUCUUGACAUCCAGAGAACUUUCCAGAGAUGGAGGGGUGCCUUCGGGAGCUCUGAGACAGGUGCUGCAUGGCUGUCGUCAGUUCGUGUUGUGAAAUGUUGGGUUAAGUCCCGCAACGAGCGCAACCCUUAUCCUUUGUUGCCAGCGAUAAAGUCGGGAACUCAAAGGAGACUGCCGGUGAUAAACCGGAGGAAGGUGGGGAUGACGUCAAGUCAUCAUGGCCCUUACGAGUAGGGCUACACACGUGCUACAAUGGCGUAUACAAAGAGAAGCGACCUCGCGAGAGUAAGCGGACCUCACAAAGUACGUCGUAGUCCGGAUUGGAGUCUGCAACUCGACUCCAUGAAGUCGGAAUCGCUAGUAAUCGUAGAUCACAAUGCUGCGGUGAAUACGUUCCCGGGCCUUGUACACACCGCCCGUCACACCAUGGGAGUGGGUUGCAAAAGAAGUAGGUAGC
rnacentral:rRNA from 1 species